rnacentral:tRNA from 1 species
AGAAGGUUAUAAGACCUGCUAACUCUUUAAU